UACGUAGGGUGCGAGCGUUGUCCGGAAUUACUGGGCGUAAAGAGCUCGUAGGUGGUUUGUCGCGUUGUUCGUGAAAACUCACAGCUUAACUGUGGGCGUGCGGGCGAUACGGGCAGACUGGAGUACUGCAGGGGAGACUGGAAUUCCUGGUGUAGCGGUGAAAUGCGCAGAUAUCAGGAGGAACACCGGUGGCGAAGGCGGGUCUCGUGGGCCGAUGACUGACGCUGAGGAGCGAAAGCGUGGGGAGCGAACAGG
rnacentral:rRNA from 1 species